rnacentral:lncRNA from 1 species
CUACAAACUAAGUCAAUUUGGUUCAUGUGAAAAGUGGCUGAUUUAAUGAUAAACUCUUUUUAUGGGAUUUGAGGUGAGAUUAUUGGUUUGCAGGAUUGCAAAUUGGUGCAGAAAGUGUAAUUUUGGAAAAGUUCGCAGUAGACUAUUAUCCAAGGUGAGAUUUCAUUUUUUUUUUCACUAUCACACACACUACAAAUAUUUCAAGUCACAAAAAUUUACAUAUGAGAAACUUUUCCCUUACUGUCCAUUGUGAUUGAAAAUUUUCUCUAGCUUUAAUGUACUUUAUUCUCGGAGAAAUGCCUCGUAGUCUCUUAUUUGGGGUUUUUCUGUUUAGGUGUCUUAAUUUAAUUGGUCAAAAUAAAUAUGUAUUAAUUAUUUAAAAAAAAUAAAAAAUUGGAAGCCAAAUAGACAAGGUCACGUGAGACUAAUGGUUUUUAGCCCGUAAAGUUGCAACGAAGCAGAGCAAGAAGCACCGUCAAAUUCAAUUUUAGUGUUUGUCUUAGUUGCUUGGGUUUGCUUUGUUGUUCCUCCUUUUUUUGCUUCAUAUUGUUUUAUUUUAGGAGUAUUUCUUAUACUCUUUGUUAUUUCUGUAUUGGACUUAAUUUUCGGUUCUUAUUAUAUAUAUUUUAUUUGCCAUUCAAAAAAAAAUUCAAUUUUAGUGUAUUUAAAUUUUUCACGGUUCAAUUUUUAGUGUACUCAAAUUCAAUUUUAUUCAAGCUAUUUUGGGAUAUAGGGCUUUUAAUUAUAUUCAUUGAUAGUAAAUGGAAAAUUGAACAUUACAUUGACAAACAUUACAUAGACCCAAUUUACUUAACGACACUACAAUUUCUUCACUAAUAACUACAAUUGCUUAACUCCUAACUACAAUAAGAAACCAUAAAAUCAGUGCAACAAUAGCUAGAACCAAUUUUUUUUUCACUUGAACCAACAAUAAAAUCAGUAUAUUCCUAGGUUCUCCAUUGUGCAGGCAAUACACAGAGGUGAAAGAACACUACAAUUUUCAUGUCACGCGAGCUAUUACAAACACAAGACGAAUUGACACAACUCUUCGACAUUUUGCUGCACGACCUUCAAACAAUAUGCACGAAGAAGAAAUUAAAUUUAUGGUUCAAACUGUACCCACGAAAUUGAUGGCAACAAG